rnacentral:rRNA from 1 species
UACGAAGGGUGCUAGCGUUGUUCGGAAUUACUGGGCGUAAAGCGCGCGUAGGCUGUUUGACAAGUCAGAGGUGAAAGCCCUGGGCUCAACCCAGGAAUUGCCUUUGAAACUGUCAGACUAGAGUGUCGGAGGGGAUAGCGGAAUUCCUAAUGUAGAGGUGAAAUUCGUAGAUAUUAGGAGGAACACCGGUGGCGAAGGCGGCUAUCUGGACGACAACUGACGCUGAGGCGCGAAAGCACGGGGAGCAAACAGG